rnacentral:lncRNA from 1 species
GACACUGGACUCGUACCUGGUACUAAGUCAAUGGCAAAUUCGACUUCACGUUCUGGAGGUAAAUCACUUACAUCCUCCGGAAACACAUCCUGAAAUUCACAGACAACAGGCAAAUCUACACUCACCACUUUCUUAUCCGCUUGCAGAGACGCAAAUAAAGCGAAUACCUGAGCUUCAUCUUUCACAAAAUCCCCCACCUGCCUAGCAGAU